rnacentral:rRNA from 1 species
UAGAGUUUGAUCAUGGCUCAGGAUGAACGCUGGCGGCGUGCUUAACACAUGCAAGUCGAACGGAACUGUCAUUUUUGAAGCAAUUAGCUUGCUAAGGGUGGAAAUGUUGGCAGUUUAGUGGCGGACGGGUGAGUAACGCGUGGGUAACCUGCCUUACACAGGGGGAUAACACCUGGAAACAGGUGCUAAUACCGCAUAACAGGAAGAGGCGCAUGCCACUUUCUUGAAAACUCCGGUGGUGUAAGAUGGACCCGCGUCUGAUUAGCUGGUUGGCGGGGUAACGGCCCACCAAGGCGACGAUCAGUAGCCGGCCUGAGAGGGUGGACGGCCACAUUGGGACUGAGACACGGCCCAAACUCCUACGGGAGGCAGCAGUGGGGAAUAUUGGACAAUGGGGGGAACCCUGAUCCAGCGACGCCGCGUGAGUGAAGAAGUAUUUCGGUAUGUAAAGCUCUAUCAGCAGGGAAGAAAGAAAUGACGGUACCUGACUAAGAAGCCCCGGCUAACUACGUGCCAGCAGCCGCGGUAAUACGUAGGGGGCAAGCGUUAUCCGGAUUUACUGGGUGUAAAGGGAGCGUAGACGGUGAUGCAAGUCUGAAGUGAAAGGCGGGGGCUCAACCCCCGGACUGCUUUGGAAACUGUAUGACUGGAGUGCAGGAGAGGUAAGUGGAAUUCCUAGUGUAGCGGUGAAAUGCGUAGAUAUUAGGAGGAACACCAGUGGCGAAGGCGGCUUACUGGACUGUAACUGACGUUGAGGCUCGAAAGCGUGGGGAGCAAACAGGAUUAGAUACCC